CAGUGUUCCUGCCCUCACGGGUAGAAACCCCACCCUUGUGUAUUAUAUAUUGUUGCUUUGGCGAGACGCCGUCAGGCCUGGGCUUCGGCUCGGUUGUGCUCGUCAGAGGACCCUAAACUCUGAAGUAUUAUGUCGUCUGAGUACUAUUUAAUAGUUA
rnacentral:misc_RNA from 1 species